ACUUAGUGGCGGACGGGUGAGUAACGCGUGGGUAACCUGCCCUGUACAGGGGGACAACAGCUGGAAACGGCUGCUAAUACCGCAUAAGCCCUUAGCACUGCAUGGUGCAUAGGGAAAAGGAGCAAUCCGGUACAGGAUGGACCCGCGUCUGAUUAGCCAGUUGGCAGGGUAACGGCCUACCAAAGCGACGAUCAGUAGCCGAUCUGAGAGGAUGUACGGCCACAUUGGGACUGAGACACGGCCCAGACUCCUACGGGAGGCAGCAGUGGGGAAUAUUGCACAAUGGAGGAAACUCUGAUGCAGCGACGCCGCGUGAGUGAAGAAGUAUUUCGGUAUGUAAAGCUCUAUCAGCAGGGAAGAAAAUGACGGUACCUGACUAAGAAGCACCGGCUAAAUACGUGCCAGCAGCCGCGGUAAUACGUAUGGUGCAAGCGUUAUCCGGAUUUACUGGGUGUAAAGGGAGCGUAGGUGGCAAGGCAAGCCAGAAGUGAAAACCCGGGGCUCAACCGCGGGAUUGCUUUUGGAACUGUCAUGCUAGAGUGCAGGAGGGGUGAGCGGAAUUCCUAGUGUAGCGGUGAAAUGCGUAGAUAUUAGG
rnacentral:rRNA from 1 species